CUACCCCAAACUCCUCCUUGCUGUUUCAAAUCUUUAUCAGUAGCCCUGUCCAGCACUGGACAGAGCUCAGUGUGGAGAUGGAGUCCCCAGCUCAGCCCCUCUGCCUUCUCCUGCUCUUGCUCCCAGGUUCACAAGGGGGAAUUUUUCUGACUCAGUCCCCAGCCUCUGUGUCUGUGUCUCUGGGAGAGAGAGUCACCAUCAAGUGCAAGGCCAGUCAGAGCCUCUUACACAGCGAUGGGAACACUUACCUAUACUGGUAUCAGCACAAAAAAGGAGAACUUAUUAAAGCACUGAUCUACAGAGUUUCCAAUCUGCACUCUGGGGUUCCCUCUCGAUUCAGUGGCAGUGGGUCUGGGACAGAUUUCACCCUCACAAUCAGCAGACUGGAGCCUGAGGAUAUUGCAGAGUAUAUCUGUUCAUUCUGGCCCUCUAACACAGUGCUCUAG